rnacentral:lncRNA from 1 species
GAGUCUAUCACUUAGGCUUAUCAUAAGUCCUAUAAUUAACUAUGGUUAACUCAGACUUGGGGCAUAUGUAUGGUAUGGUAUCUAACACGAACGAUAAACUUGUACCGUUUGGGCCAUUCCUUUAAUUGGGUCAGCGCUAAAGUAGUUGGGCCAAUGGAUUGGGCAAACAAACAAUUAACAACUCUUAACCAAUCAGUUAAGAUAGCUAAUGAGAUAGCUACAACUAAUUGACAGUUGAUAAAAUAUUAACUAUUUAUUGGUAAUGGGCCAGGCCUAAGGGUAAACUCAUUUUAAUAUUUAUAAAUACAUGUUUGAUAGGAAGGUCAAGUAACUAAUUCUGAGUACUCA